rnacentral:rRNA from 1 species
CCUACGGGAGGCAGCAGUGAGGAAUAUUGGUCAAUGGACGAGAGUCUGAACCAGCCAAGUAGCGUGAAGGAUGACUGCCCUAUGGGUUGUAAACUUCUUUUAUAUGGGAAUAAAAUGUUCCACGUGUGGGUUUUUGUAUGUACCAUAUGAAUAAGGAUCGGCUAACUCCGUGCCAGCAGCCGCGGUAAUACGGAGGAUCCGAGCGUUAUCCGGAUUUAUUGGGUUUAAAGGGAGCGUAGGUGGGUUGUUAAGUCAGUUGUGAAAGUUUGCGGCUCAACCGUAAAAUUGCAGUUGAAACUGGCAGUCUUGAGUACAGUAGAGGUGGGCGGAAUUCGUGGUGUAGCGGUGAAAUGCUUAGAUAUCACGAAGAACUCCGAUUGCGAAGGCAGCUCACUAAACUGCAACUGACACUGAUGCUCGAAAGUGUGGGUAUCAAACAGGAUUAGAUACCCUUGUAGUC